rnacentral:rRNA from 1 species
UACGUAGGGUGCAAGCGUUGUCCGGAAUUAUUGGGCGUAAAGAGCUCGUAGGCGGUCUGUCACGUCGGCUGUGAAAACCCGAGGCUCAACCUCGGGCCUGCAGUCGAUACGGGCAGACUAGAGUUCGGUAGGGGAGACUGGAAUUCCUGGUGUAGCGGUGAAAUGCGCAGAUAUCAGGAGGAACACCGGUGGCGAAGGCGGGUCUCUGGGCCGAAACUGACGCUGAGGAGCGAAAGCGUGGGGAGCGAA